UUCUGGGGCCUGAUCCUGGUAGCCGGUAGCUAACUGUCAUCCCACAGUGCCAUGGGCACAUCUCCACUGAAAGACGGGGUUUAUUCCCUUCCCUUGAACCAGGUGGACCUUGGUAACUGCUUUGACCCAUAGAAUAUGCUGGAAAUGGUGCUGUCUGGCUUCUGAGGUUAGGUCAUAAAAGGCAGCACGGCUUCCUCCUGAUUCUAUCCUCAGAACACUUGUCCAGGGAACCCAGUCACCAUAUUGGCAGGAAGCCCAGGACACACGGAGAACCUCCUUGUGGAUAUGUUGGUCCUUGCCUCCAGCUAGGCGCCGCUGAUGCAGCACCAACCACCAGAAGAGUUUCUUUCCUCGGACACCUCUGCUUGUUCAUUCUAGAAUCUGCGAUAGGUGUUAUGCCAUCCAGCACAAACCCUCAGUUAUGCAUUCAGCUUUAAUAAAUGAGUAUUUCCACA